UACGUAGGGGGCAAGCGUUGUCCGGAAUCAUUGGGCGUAAAGCGCGCGUAGGCGGCCCGGUAAGUCCGCUGUGAAAGUCAGAGGCUCAACCUUUGAAUGUCAGCGGAUACUGCCAGGCUAGAGUACGGAAGAGGCGAGUGGAAUUCCUGGUGUAGCGGUGGAAUGCGCAGAUAUCAGGAGGAACACCAAUAGCGAAGGCAGCUCGCUGGGACGUUACUGACGCUGAGACGCGAAAGCGUGGGGAGCAAACAGG
rnacentral:rRNA from 1 species